GGGGAAGCCAGAGAGUGGAAGGAGAGUGGUUGUGCUUCCUUCCUGGCUGUAGGACUGAGAAGCCCUUAGGGCUGAAACCCCCAACUGUAUGUGGUGAGAAGGUGGUGGGAUUGUGUGCUCCUUUGCUGGUCGGUUAUGAGGCUCAUCUGGAAGAGGUGGUGAUGGUCCUACCAAUUGUUCCAAUUCAUUUCUGACAUUUGAACCCGCCAGACGUAUUACAUCUGGAGCAACAGAGGCUGGAGGCAGAAGAAAUAACAGUGUGGGUGAGACAGCUUUCUGUCUUGGAUGAUUGAUGCAGGAACAACAGAGCUUGACUGUUUGAUGGCCUCUGACUCACCCGUACUGAUGUGUCCUAUACUGAGCAGGCAUUUCUUGGGCUUGUGCAGGUCACUGAAAAACAUGUGGUAAAGGCUGCAGCCCAUCGCCUAGGUCAGAGAGGGGAACAAACACAGACUCUCUAUGCUGUGCUGCCAAUCAAGAGAGAGGUUGGAUUCAUACCAUAGCAUGCUGCAUUUCAUGAGUAACACAAGUUCUUCAGACAUAUUAAAGGAAACAAGAUCUGCAGUCACUUCAGGAGACCACAGAAAAUGCUUCAUUAUUUCCUUUUAUAGGUAGAAAUGGGCCUGAGCAAACCCCCUCGAUUUGAAGUCUCUUGUUCUUUGGCAUAUUUGAAUUCCAGAUCCAGAUGCAAGUUUUUUGUGGCUAAUACCCACUCCUACUUACAUUGAUCAUUUUCUUAACAUCUGAUGCAUCUUUAAUAUGUAUAAUCAAACAUGUCCUAAAACAUCACCAUGGCUUUGGGGGACACCAGCGAGAAAUGUACCUUCUUGAAAGGAAUAUUUUACUGUGUUUUGUGGGCAGAAAUAAGACAACUACCCUUUUCAAAACAGGCAGAAGCAAAAUAUCUAAUCUUUCAGUUGCAUCCAUCACUGUAGUAUCUGUCAUCUAACGUUAUGCUCGGUCAUCAGCAAUCUGGUGAAAGCAUGCAGUGUAACUCCAGUCCCCCACAUUCAAGAUUAUCUUCCCCAAAUUCCACAGUAGCCCUGUCUUUCUGUUCAGUCUUAGACUAUAGGGAUUUUGAGUUUUCCUAUCAUGCUUUUCUGCAGUGACCUCCUUAAAGAGUCAUGGGGGCAAGAAGAACAUUGUUUGUCAAAAUAUUCAAACCAGCCCUGUGCAUGUGUCAAAAAGACAUAUUUCUUUCACUUGGUUUCAGCUGCCAGGAGAGGUUCCUUUUGCUCAUCAAAGAGCACCCUUUACCCAUAACAUUUCAGGCUAAGUGUCAGCUAACAAGUCCCCGUUUGGGACCUUAGCUGCUGGGAUUUCCAGUAAAAGAGUGGGAUUUUUCCCUAGCUGCUGCUGCUCCCAAGGAUGCUCACAGAGACCUCCCAUCUCCCCUAGCAGCCUCCCUCCUGUCCUGGGAUUUUAUGAAGCAGAGUUAAGAAUCAGUUCAGUUAAUCCACACUACGCCAUCACAGAAUCCGCUCCGGCACAGAGCCCAGGCUAGGAAAUGUAAAUACAGUGGGCAGCAGUAGGAACAAGAAGGGAAAUCCGUGCGGGGAGGGGGCAUUUAAUUGGUAUAUUCAAUACACUGAGAGAUGAGUAGCAGGGCCUAAAAUAACCCUCCCUAUCUUACACUCCAUUGCUUGGGAGGUGGGGGAGAUGAAGGCACAAGAACCAAGAUUCACAAACUCUGAAAUACCCAUAGUUCUAAGGAAACUUCUAACAAUCUGUUUUCCCCACCUCAAAGAGUUCCCAAAUGGCUUCCUAGCAGUUAGGGAUAGCAUAAAUUACCAGCACUUGAGUGAACUAGCAAAUGCCCUUAUUAGCACCUAGGUGGUGGUGAUGCUGGGCUGGUAAAUUGAAUCUUUGCAAAUCAGGGUGGUGUUUGCCAGGUCUCCAGCCUAUGUCAACACAGCUCUUUGAGUGAGGCCUCUCCUGACCUCUUAGCUGCAGGGCUAGAGGUGGAUGCAGCUUGCUACGCAGCCUGGAAUUUUCCAGCUUUUUUCUUCUUUUGGCCAUUUAAUGCUGUCUGAGAAGAGGCAGGGGGUAGGAGAGACAGAAGGAAAGAGAGAGACACUGAAUCAGAAACAGACACAGAGGAAAAAGUAGAGUGCAUAGUGAGAAAGAGAGGGAGAGCAAUAGAUAGUGAUACAGAAUGAGCACAUGAGAUAAAUCCCAUUUACGCAUGGAAAACCAGCUCCUGGUAAAGGUGGGUUGAGGACACAUAGGCCCAAAUUCCCUGUUGGAGUAAUCCUACUGACUGCCCUGGAAUUACAGCAGAAGGGAAAAUGGUUUACACUUGAGAUCCAGAUUUGAGGUUUCUGGCUCUUCCCAUAAUAGUGAUGCAGCCAGGUACAAAGAUCGGAGCAAUAUCCGAAUCAAGAUCCAGAUGAGCCUAACCUAGUCCUUGGCUUUGGUUUGGACCUAUGUUGACUUUCUGUUACACAGGUACGUGGAGUGGGCUUGUCAGAAGCACUUGGCAUAGGCCUAACUCUGUUCUCAUUGAAGUGAAUGUGAGUUUUACCAUUGGCUUCCAUGAGGAGCAGAGAGAGGCCCCCACCAAGUGCUUCUGACAGUCCAGCCCGUGACAAAUGAACGUUGACAAUGUUUAUAUUCUUGUCUGGCAACCACAACCACCAGAACCUGCUCAUUCCUGCAGCUGAGUAUAUGGGGCUCCCAUUGACUUCAGUGGGAAUGGUUCCCAUGUACCUUCCGGGAUAAGCGGGAGGGACCUUGCCAAUGAGACCUGUAGCUGAAUAGACAAAACAGUAAAAGAAAGAAAGAAGGCUGCCCAGGUCAGUUAGGAGAAGGUCUAACCUGCUCCUACUUAUAUGCUGUGUAGAGCAGAUUUUCAUAUCAUUUCAUGGAAAAAGCAGAGCUACUUUGGGAA